rnacentral:pre_miRNA from 1 species
AGUAGAAUUGCUGGGUUGUACAGUAAGUUUAUGUUUAACUUUUUAAGAAACUGCCAAACUGUUUUUUGAAGUGGCUGUACCAUUUUACAUUUCCACCAGCAAU